rnacentral:rRNA from 1 species
UGUUGCCAGCACGUAAUGGUGGGAACUCAAAGGAGACUGCCGGUGAUAAACCGGAGGAAGGUGGGGAUGACGUCAAGUCAUCAUGGCCCUUACGAGUAGGGCUACACACGUGCUACAAUGGCAGAUACAAAGAGAAGCGACCUCGCGAGAGCAAGCGGAACUCAUAAAGUCUGUCGUAGUCCGGAUUGGAGUCUGCAACUCGACUCCAUGAAGUCGGAAUCGCUAGUAAUCGUAGAUCAGAAUGCUACGGUGAAUACGUUCCCGGGCCUUGUACACACCGCCCGUCACACCAUGGGAGUGGGUUGCAAAAGAAGUAGGUAGCUUAACCUUCGGGAGGGCGCUUACCA